UUUCACAUGCUACACAGUGAGAUCCGAGUUGGUCCUCCAUCCAAGGUCUGCCAAAUUGUAGAGGUUUGUGCACUGCUGCACAACAUCUGCAAAGCAAGAAACAUCAUUCUUCCUGAGGAAGAAGAACAUCUUGCUGCAGCCGAGGAUGGAGGCAACGAGGAGCGACUCCUAGCACAGAAAGUUCAAAGUCGCCAUGAAGUAAUCCUUUACAGGGAUGAAUUUGUUGUGCUUCACUUCAACAUUGAUGAGUGAUGAGACACCAGUGUCAUGACUGCUGAGAUUGGUGUUAUUCUCAUGUGGAUGAUCUCCUCCUCAUCCACAAACACCAGUGAUGUACCAGGCAAGUCUGGCCCCUGUUGGUGCUGCAAGUGGUGUGGCAGGUGCCUCCUCCUCAACACCCACUGCCUCGGUCACCACUUCUCUCUGUUGGGCUGCCUCUGCCACUUCCCCAGCAUCAUCUGCUGCCUGCACACUGCUGGCAUCAUUAGUUCUAACUUCAGAAACUAAGCUGAUAAUGUUUUUGGUUUUAUUGCUAAGGACAAAAGUAACAGAAACCAGUAAAUCUAGCUAAGGGUA